UACGGAGGGUGCAAGCGUUAUCCGGAUUCACUGGGUUUAAAGGGUGCGUAGGUGGGCAGGUAAGUCAGUGGUGAAAUCUCCGGGCUUAACCCGGAAACUGCCAUUGAUACUAUCUGUCUUGAAUACCGUGGAGGUGAGCGGAAUAUGUCAUGUAGCGGUGAAAUGCUUAGAUAUGACAUAGAACACCAAUUGCGAAGGCAGCUCACUACGCGAAUAUUGACACUGAGGAGCGAAAGCCAGGGGAGCAAACGGG
rnacentral:rRNA from 1 species